rnacentral:rRNA from 1 species
UACGUAGGGUGCGAGCGUUAAUCGGAAUUACUGGGCGUAAAGCGUGCGCAGGCGGUCUGUUAAGACCGAUGUGAAAUCCCCGGGCUUAACCUGGGAACUGCAUUGGUGACUGGCAGGCUUUGAGUGUGGCAGAGGGAGGUAGAAUUCCACGUGUAGCAGUGAAAUGCGUAGAGAUGUGGAGGAACACCGAUGGCGAAGGCAGCCUCCUGGGCCAAUACUGACGCUCAUGCACGAAAGCGUGGGGAGCAAACAGG